rnacentral:sRNA from 1 species
GUGAAUUUAAAUUUUCUUUAGAACGUGCCAAUAGUGAGAAAAAAAAACAUUAAGACAUCAAGAAGUGAAGAAAGUAAUAAUUUAUAGGGUGAUUUGCAAGAAUAACAAAAAAAAAACUGAAAAUUAAAUAUAUAGCACCUAUUAUGUAUCAAUUAAGUAAAUAACACUCUAACCAUGAAAAAAGUCUAAACGACCCUUGCUUUAGUCUUUCCAGAGGUAAGUGGGAGAGAUGUCGUCGACAUUGAACGAGAUGAUGAUUGGUGAAUAUAGAGAUGUUCUAGUGAAAGGGAAGAAGAUAGAAAUCCAGCGAAGAGGAUGAGAUAGACAAAUCCAACAAGAAAGCAAAGAAGAGAAAUGAAGACGAAUUUUCAGCGGCUGGGAUAUGCAACAUACACCAGAGAUGACAAACAAGGGGUAUAAUUGUCCCAAAUACAUAAAAUACAGAAGAUAUCAACUUGUUUUUUUGAAAAUUGUUAGUUUCUUAAUUUAAUUUUUGGGAGAUUUGCAAAACUACUAUUUUUUACUACUAUUUUGCAACAAUACUCUUUUAUGUUAUCCAUUUAAAAAAAUACUUCUUCCCUUUAACAGAAUGAACAAAUUACCCUCAUCUAAUAGGAACAUGUAAUUGGAAACUAAAAUUUUCCCGCCAAAUUUUUGGAGUCAAAAUUUAUUUUUUCCGCCAAAAAAUAAUUUCCGCCAAACUUUUUUUCCGCAAAAA